rnacentral:lncRNA from 10 species
AGGUUUUCAGUUUCAGUUUCCCAGAAAGGAGGUGUCUCUGUGGUGACGAGCAGGGCUUCAUCCAGUGCCUCUGUCCCCACCGAGGGGACUAUGGGAGACAUGGAGGGUGUGUGAGCAACAGGUGAGACUGGAGCCAGCUGAAAACUGGGAGACCGACCCAGCCAACAAACAAUGUCGGUCUCUGUCUUGGCACCUGCAGGAAACAAGCUCCUACUUCCAGAAAAAGUGCUCCUGGGACUCCAGGAUACCAGGCAUCUGGGUAAGCUACAAUGCUUAACCACUUAACACAAUCAGGAAGCAACAGCCAUGCAUUCGGGAAAGGAACUUCAGUGUUGUGUGGCUCAGUCUCCAGACCUAACUUUCCCUUUGGUACAGACGCGGUGGUACAUGCCUGUAAUCCCAACACUUAGGCAGGAGGAUCACUCGAGCCCAGAAGAUCAAGACUAGUGUGAGCAACAAAAUCCUUCCCUGGCACCGGUUCCAGGAGGACCUCGUUCUUAGGCAGCAUCUGUGUCUCUGUUUUGUAAGACACACAGAGUAUCCUUAACCCACUGCAGAUAUUUCCCUGGGUCCAUGGUCAAUCAACACCACCUUUCAGUCUCCAGCCUCUUAACCAGCCCAGGGCUGAGUGUUGUUUAUAGUAUUAAUAUGUUUCUGGCUGGGCUCAGUGGCUCAUGCCUGUAAUCCCGGCACUAUGGGAGGCUGAGGCAGGCGGAUCACUUGAGGUCAGGAGUUCAAGACCAGCCUGGCCAACAUAGUAAAACCCCGUCUCUACUAAAAAUACAAAAAUGAGCCGGGUGUGGUGGCGUGUGUCUAUAAUCCCAGCUACUCGGGAGGCUGAGGCAGGAGAAUUGCUUGAACCUGGGAGGUGGAGGCUACAGUGAGCUGAGAUCAUGCCACUGCACUCCAGCCUGGGCAAGAAAGUGAGACUCCAUCUCAAAACAAAGAAACAAACAAAGUAUUAAUAUGUUCCCCUUGAUCAGUGGGGUGGUUCACCCUUGUAAUCCCAGCACUUUGGGAGGCAGAGGCUGGCGGAUCGCUUGAGUCCAGGAGUUCGAGACCAGCCUGGGUGAACUAGCAAAACCCUGCCUGUACUAAAAAUACAAAAAUUAACUGGGCUUGGUGGUGCGAGCCUGUAAUCCCAGUGGAGGCUGAGACAGGAGAAUCCUUUUGUAAUGCCUGACCUUGUUUUUUUACUAACCCUAUUUUAACCUUGUUUUUACUAACCCUAUUUUUAAAUUUUCCCUUUUUGUCUCCUUAAUUACCUAGCCUUGUUUCCCAUAUGAGUAGACUCUCCCUUAGCUGGGAAAGCCUGACGAACGCCAUCUGGCCCCUUGAUUUACAAGACAUUAAGGGCUACUUACCCAACCCCCUUCCUCAAAGAGUUAACCUGCGUAAGCAGAUCCUCAGCAUUUCAAAGGAGCCCAAUUAGCUGAUAAGGUACUGGAACAAACAAUGUACGAAGUUCCCAGGAUUUUGCUCAAAAGCAUAACAACAUAAAGCCUUGAGUCUGUGUCUGGCAUAGCAUCCAUAUCUAACUCUUAUGAAGGAUUUAGAGCCCGGCACCUGGUUCCGUUGCUUUUUUUGUAACCAUUUGUCUUUUAAAUUGUUUAUUUCUCUGUAACCAUUUGUUUUUUGAUUCUUGCAUGUUUUUACUUCUGUAGAAUUAUUGCAUUUGAGCUCCGCUCCCCUUCCGAACCAAGGUAUAAAAGUAAAUCAAGCCCCUUCCUCGGGGCCGAGAGAAUUUUGGAAAGUCAAGCCUUCUCUUGGCUGCCGGCUUAAAUAAAGGACUCUUAAUUCGUCUCGAA